rnacentral:rRNA from 1 species
GUGGGGAAUAUUGCACAAUGGGCGAAAGCCUGAUGCAGCGAUGCCGCGUGCGGGAAGAAGGCCCUAGGGUUGUAAACCGCUUUCAGUAGGGAAGAAAAUGACGGUACCUACAGAAGAAGGUGCGGCCAACUACGUGCCAGCAGCCGCGGUGACACGUAGGCACCAAGCGUUGUCCGGAUUUAUUGGGCGUAAAGAGCUCGUAGGCGGUUUGGUAAGUCGGGUGUGAAAACUCUGGGCUCAACCCAGAGAGGCCACUCGAUACUGCCAUGACUUGAGUACGGUAGGGGAGUGGGGAAUUUCUAGUGUAGCGGUGAAAUGCGCAGAUAUUAGAAGGAACACCAGUGGCGAAGGCGCCACUCUGGGCCGUAACUGACGCUGAGGAGCGAAAGCAUGGGUAGCAAACAGGAUUAGAUACCCGUGUAGUCC